CAUUACUGAGUUUACGCUCUACAACCCUUUGUGAACAUACCUAUAACUGUUGCUUCGGCGGGUAGGGUCUCCGCGACCCUCCCGGCCUCCCGCCUCCGGGCGGGUCGGCGCCCGCCGGAGGAUAACCAAACUCUGAUUUAACGACGUUUCUUCUGAGUGGUACAAGCAAAUAAUCAAAACUUUUAACAACGGAUCUCUUGGUUCUGGCAUCGAUGAAGAACGCAGCGAAAUGCGAUAAGUAAUGUGAAUUGCAGAAUUCAGUGAAUCAUCGAAUCUUUGAACGCACAUUGCGCCCGCCAGCAUUCUGGCGGGCAUGCCUGUUCGAGCGUCAUUUCAACCCUCAAGCUCUGCUUGGUGUUGGGGCCCUACAGCCGAUGUAGGCCCUCAAAGGUAGUGGCGGACCCUCCCGGAGCCUCCUUUGCGUAGUAACUUUACGUCUCGCACUGGGAUCCGGAGGGACUCUUGCCGUAAAACCCCCCAAUUUUCCAAAGGUUGACCUCGGAUCAGGUAGGAAUACCCGCUGAACUUAAGCAUAUCA
rnacentral:rRNA from 1 species